rnacentral:rRNA from 1 species
GAAAAGAACAACAGGGAUUGCCCUAGUAACGGCGAGUGAAGCGGCAACAGCUCAAAUUUGAAAUCUGGCUUCGGCCCGAGUUGUAAUUUGCAGAGGAAGCUUUAGGCGCGGCACCUUCUGAGUCCCCUGGAACGGGGCGCCAUAGAGGGUGAGAGCCCCGUAUAGUUGGAUGCCUAGCCUGUGUAAAGCUCCUUCGACGAGUCGAGUAGUUUGGGAAUGCUGCUCAAAAUGGGAGGUAAAUUUCUUCUAAAGCUAAAUACCGGCCAGAGACCGAUAGCGCACAAGUAGAGUGAUCGAAAGAUGAAAAGCACUUUGAAAAGAGGGUUAAAUAGCACGUGAAAUUGUUGAAAGGGAAGCGCUUGUGACCAGACUUGCGCCGGGCGGAUCAUCCGGUGUUCUCACCGGUGCACUCCGCCCGGCUCAGGCCAGCAUCGGUUCUCGCGGGGGGAUAAAGGUCCUGGGAACGUAGCUCCUCCGGGAGUGUUAUAGCCCGGGGCGUAAUGCCCUCGCGGGGACCGAGGUUCGCGCAUCUGCAAGGAUGCUGGCGUAAUGGUCAUCAGCGACCCGUCUUGAAACACGGACCAAGGAGUCAAGGUUUUGCGCGAGUGUUUGGGUGUAAAACCCGCACGCGUAAUGAAAGUGAACGUAGGUGAGAGCUUCGGCGCAUCAUCGACCGAUCCUGAUGUUUUCGGAUGGAUUUGAGUAGGAGCGUUAAGCCUUGGACCCGAAAGAUGGUGAACUAUGCUUGGAUAGGGUGAAGCCAGAGGAAACUCUGGUGGAGGCUCGCAGCGGUUCUGACGUGCAAAUCGAUCGUCAAAUCUGAGCAUGGGGGCGAAAGACUAAUCGAACCAUCUAGUAGCUGGUUACCGCCGAAGUUUCCCUCAGGAUAGCAGUGUUGUCUUCAGUUUUAUGAGGUAAAGCGAAUGAUUAGGGACUCGGGGGCGCUUUUUAGCCUUCAUCCAUUCUCAAACUUUAAAUAUGUAAGAAGCCCUUGUUACUUAAUUGAACGUGGGCAUUCGA